GUUAGUCUGUAUUCAUCCAGGUUAGUCUGUGUUCCUCCAGGUUAGUCUGUGUUCCUCCAGGUUAGUCUGUAUUCAUCCAGGUUAGUCUGUAUUCCUCCAGGUUAGUCUGUAUUCCUCCAGGUUAGUCUGUGUUCCUCCAGGUUAGUCUGUG